AACUAGAAAGGGGGGCAACCCCCGAGUAAAGUGGCGCACCUUUUGAGUAACACGUGGGUAAUCUGCCUCUGGGUGGGGAAUAACUCUGGGAAACCGGAGCUAAUACCGCAUAAGCUCGAGAGAGGAAAGGCGAAAGUCGCCGAAAGAGGAGCCCGCGGCCGAUUAGCUGGCUGGUAGGGUAAAGGCCUACCAGGGCUGAGAUCGGUAGCCGGCCUGAGAGGGCACACGGCCACACUGGCACUGAAACACGGGCCAGACUCCUACGGGAGGCAGCAGUGGGGAAUCUUGCACAAUGGGGGAAACCCUGAUGCAGCGACGCCGCGUGAGCGAUGAAGCCCUUCGGGGUGUAAAGCUCUUUCGGCAGGGACGAUAAUGACGGUACCUGAAGAAGAAGCUGCGGCUAAUUACUUGCCAGCAGCCGCGGUAUUACGUAGGCAGCGAGCGUUGUUCGGAGUUACUGGGUUUAAAGCGUGCGUAGGCGGUGGCCCAAGUCUGGUGUGAAAUCUCCCGUCUUAACCGGGAGGGUGCGCCGGAAACUGGGUUGCUGGAGUGCCGGAGAGGCUGGCGGAAUUCCUGGUGUAGCGGUGAAUUGCGUAGAUAUCAGGAGGAACACCCGUGGUGUGGACGGCCUGCUGGACGGCCCCUGACGCUGAGUGCA
rnacentral:rRNA from 1 species